rnacentral:rRNA from 1 species
GCCUCGCAAGAGGAGCCUGGAGACAGGUGCUGCAUGGCUGUCGUCAGCUCGUGUCGUGAGAUGUUGGGUUAAGUCCCGCAACGAGCGCAACCCUUGUCUUUAGUUGCCAUCAUUCAGUUGGGCACUCUAAAGAGACUGCCGGUGUCAAACCGGAGGAAGGUGGGGAUGACGUCAAGUCCUCAUGGCCUUUAUGACCAGGGCUACACACGUACUACAAUGGCCGGUACAAAGGGCAGCCACUUAGCGAUAAGGAGCCAAUCCCGUAAAGCCGGUCUCAGUCCGGAUUGGAGUCUGCAACUCGACUCCAUGAAGUUGGAAUCGCUAGUAAUCGCAGAUCAGCACGCUGCGGUGAAUACGUUCCCGGGCCUU